GGCUGUGUAGUCCAAUUGGCAGAGACAACGGACUUAAAAUCCGUCCAGUGUGAGUUCGAAUCUCACCACAGCUACCA
rnacentral:tRNA from 1 species